GUUUUCCUCCCGCAAUUUAUCAAUACUUCCGUCAACAGCUUGAUUCCCCGGACUGGCCCGCUUGCUUCCCUCAGCUCUGGCUGGGUUAACUCUAGUUGGGAUUUCGAUAAUUCGGUUGUUAUCUCUGCUAACUUCGUCGCCGCUGAUAGAUCUAUCAGCUCCGACUCUGUGUCCAACUCCUGAAUAUUCUGGAAUAACCGAAGUAAUUGCGUCCAGACUGCUUGACUGUUUUUUUGAAAAUCUGUCUUUCUUUCCUCUAAGUUCUUCAAAGCUAAGAUUAAUGAUGGAAGUAGAUGAACUACUUUCGGAUAAACUGCAUUCGGCCCUAGUAUUACUCCUUCUACUGUUCUUCGAAUCCGAAAUUCUAUUUGUUCCGCUACUAAUCUGUUCGAUUGAAUUUCGAAAUGGUCUGCCAUUCGUUGUUUUCUCUUUGAAAAGAUUUGAGAGACGACGUGUCCACUCUAUUAUUGGUGUAAUUCGACGAGAAGAUUUGGGCGUGGAAGAAUCAGUGAGAUAAGGCAACAAAGGGGAGGAAACGUCGUCACUACUUUUAAAAACUGUUUCUUCUUCGCGAAUCCAUUGUCUACGUGGGGGUGUUUUUAAUAACGGAUCUACUUGCUGAUAACCGGAGUAUGAUCUAAGUUUUUUCUGGAUUUCACUGUACACCCUGGUUCUUAAUUCUUUAUCGGUAGAUCCCUGAAUUUUCCGGACAGGAUCCUGGAUGAGCUUCGCACUUCCAGUAUCGACAAUAUUUGCAAAACUUUCUUGACAAUCAGAAACUACAGAAUUCAACGGAAUCGGGGAAACAGGUGGGGCAUGGAUCUCGACUUCAACAACGUUGUACAAGGGAUUCGAUACACUUAUAAUAGGCGUGCGUACAAGUUUAGGUCUAGCACCAAAUACAUCAUUAUUCAACAUUGUGGGUGAGUUCUAAAAUCGCUGCCACCAUUAUGUAAAGAUCCAUCCUCUCGGACGGAAUAACUUUACAAAGAGAAGACUAAAAAUAAUAAAGAAUAAACAACCAGAGGCGUUUUACCCACAAGCCGAUGUAUUGGACUAACACUAAUAACUAGUAGCACAAAUAAUAAUUAAGAAUAACAUACCGUUACUGAGAUGAAAAAUAGAAGAAAUAGGAGACAGGAUAAGACACUUGUUGACACAGCACUAGAACUCAACACAGAGCUCAACACUAAUAAUUCUCGGUACACAAGAAGGGACCGGUAACUGUUAGACACGAUUGAAGAAGGGAACUAAGAUAAAUUAAGACUAGAACAGGAACACAAGACGGAAGUAAAUCAAGAACUAAAGACUGGAAGAGAACUAAGACUGAACUGGAACUGAAAGAGACUGAAAGGAACUGAAGCUGGCAGAUCGAGAGUUCCUUAUAAACCCUCGUACAAAAUGCUAAAUAUAAAUGUUUGCAAAUCGAGAACAAAGGUAAGAACAUUCCAGAUUGGCAGCUGCAAACAAACGUGUUUGUAGCUGCAAAUCUAGCUUCAUAAUUCUAAUUAAGCUGGUUUAAGCAUAAUAAAAUUAUAAUAAUGGAAGAAGCAGUACAUGAAGCGUAUACAAUAAAAGCUUGGCCAAAAUAACUAUAGCGCUUGUUUCGCACAUGACUAUAUAUGGUAUGCGUGAAUAAUAUUCAAAUAAAAUAGUAUAAUAAUUCAGCGCGCGCUAUCUAAGCGGACGCUUCAUUACAAUACUAAUACACCAUGCCACCACCACCUUGUCAGCUGUGCUGUGCGGGUACCAGGCUACCAGCAGCUUUUCAGUGUCUGCCUGUCGGUUGCCCCAGAAGGACGUGUCUGUGCGUGUCGUUUUUUUGAAAAAACUUUGUUACUAUUUUUUAAUUCAGUGAACUUUUACCAACAACCAAAUUUUAAAUCAUGAAACGUCCCACGGAUUAGACGAGAAAAUUUUUGUGAAUUUUUUUUCAAAAUUUUCCGAGAAAAUAAAUUUAACUUAAUCGCCGAAAAAAGAAAAAUUUGAUUUUUUGGAAAAAAUGGUGGUCGUGAAAUUAAUUGUGAUUGUUUUAGUGUUGUUUUUCCGGUUGUCUGUCGUCGAUUCGGAUGGUUCUUCGUCAGUGAUUCAGCGAUUAAUCGUCCGUCUAGAAGAUCCGUCAUCUCAUCCGUCAUCCGACAAUGGCACACUCUUUAAACAAAUUGAGGCAUUGAUAAACAUGGAUUUCAUUGCUCGAAUAUUCCCAGCCAUAGUGAGAUUUUCUUGACUGGACAUGACUAAAAGGACUUGAGGGAAAAUGUCUACUACUACGUCACCUCUCAAACGGAUCUUUCAACAUGGAUUUCCCACCUGUCUUGUGUCCUGAACGAAGAUGGGUGAGAACAAUUUUAAAAGUUUAAAUAGUCUAGCUUGUAUUUAUUGAUUUUAAAAUACAAAAUUUAAAUUGCA